rnacentral:rRNA from 1 species
GAGCGAUGACUUUCGUAGCUUGCACAGAAAGAUUAGUGGCGAACGGGUGAGUAACACGUGAGUAACCUGCCCCUGACUCUGGGAUAAGCCUGGGAAACUGGGUCUAAUACUGGAUAUGCACCGUAGACCGCACGGUUUUUGGUGGAAAGAAUUUUGGUCAGGGAUGGACUCGCGGCCUAUCAGCUUGUUGGUGAGGUAAUGGCUCACCAAGGCGACGACGGGUAGCCGGCCUGAGAGGGUGACCGGCCACACUGGGACUGAGACACGGCCCAGACUCCUACGGGAGGCAGCAGUGGGGAAUAUUGCACAAUGGGCGAAAGCCUGAUGCAGCGACGCCCGUGAGGGAUGACGGCCUUCGGGUUGUAAACCUCUUUCAGUAGGGAAGAAGCGAAAGUGACGGUGCCUGCAGAAGAAGCGCCGGCUAACUACGUGCCAGCAGCCGCGGUAAUACGUAGGGGCGCGAGCGUUAUCCGGAAUUAUUGGGCGUAAAGAGCUCGUAGGCGGUUUGUCGCGUCUGCCGUGAAAGUCCGAGGCUCAACUUCGGAUCUGCGGUGGGUACGGGCAGACUAGAGUGAUGUAGGGGAGACUGGAAUUCCUGGUGUAGCGGUGAAAUGCGCAGAUAUCAGGAGGAACACCGAUGGCGAAGGCAGGUCUCUGGGCAUCUACUGACGCUGAGGAGCGAAAGCAUGGGGAGCGAACAGGAUUAGAUACCCUGGUAGUCCAUGCCGUAAACGUUGGGCACUAGGUGUGGGGGACAUUCCACGUUUUCCGCGCCGUAGCUAACGCAUUAAGUGCCCCGCCUGGGGAGUACGGCCGCAAGGCUAAAACUCAAAGGAAUUGACGGGGGCCCGCACAAGCGGCGGAGCAUGCGGAUUAAUUCGAUGCAACGCGAAGAACCUUACCAAGGCUUGACAUGUGCUAGAUCGCCAUAGAAAUAUGGUUUCCCCUUUGGGGCUGGUUCACAGGUGGUGCAUGSUUGUCGUCAGCUCGUGUCGUGAGAUGUUGGGUUAAGUCCCGCAACGAGCGCAACCCUCUUUCUAUGUUGCCAGCACGUUAUGGUGGGGACUCAUAGGAGACGCCGGGGUCAACUCGGAGGAAGGUGGGGAAGAGUCAAAUCAUCAUGCCCCUUAUUCUUGGGCUUCACCCCUGCUACAAUGGCCGGUACAAUGGGGUGCGAUACUGUGAGGUGGAGCUAAUCCCAAAAAACCGGUCUCACUUCGGAUUGGGGUCUGCAACUCGACCCCAGAAGUGGGAGUCGCUAGUAAUCGCAGAUCAGCAACGCUGCGGUGAAUACGUUCCCGGGCCUUGUACACACCCCCCCUCAAGUCCCGAAAAUUGGUAACCCCUAAAGCUGGUGGCCUAACCC